UGGGGAAUAUUGCACAAUGGAGGGAACUCUGAUGCAGCGACGCCGCGUGAACGAAGAAGGCUUUCGAGUCGUAAAGUUCUUUUAUAUGGGAAGAUAAUGACGGUACCAUAAGAAAAAGCCCCGGCUAACUACGUGCCAGCAGCCGCGGUAAUACGUAGGGGGCUAGCGUUGUCCGGAAUCACUGGGCGUAAAGGGUUCGCAGGCGGAAAUGCAAGUCAGGUGUAAAAGGCAGUAGCUUAACUACUGUAAGCAUUUGAAACUGCAUAUCUUGAGAAGAGUAGAGGUAAGUGGAAUUUUUAGUGUAGCGGUGAAAUGCGUAGAUAUCAGGAGGAACACCGGUGGCGAAGGCGACUUACUGGGCUCAUUCUGACGCUGAGGAACGAAAGCGUGGGUAGCAAACAGG
rnacentral:rRNA from 1 species